CUUCACCGAACCGAGGUACAGCGGGCGGUCGGCGGGCCGGUCCUGGCCGUAGGUGGCCAGGAGGGCCUGCGCCUC
rnacentral:antisense_RNA from 1 species